rnacentral:rRNA from 1 species
GACGAACCGUGCAAACGUUGUUCGGAAUCACUGGGCUUAAAGGGCGCGUAGGCGGGCAAGCAAGUCGAAGGUGAAAUCCCACGGCUCAACCGUGGAAGUGCCCCCGAUACUGCUUGUCUUGAGGGAGAUAGGGGCGUGCGGAACUUCCGGUGGAGCGGUGAAAUGCGUAGAUAUCGGGAGGAACACCGGUGGCGAAAGCGGCGCGCUGGAUCUCUUCUGACGCUGAGGCGCGAAAGCCAGGGGAGCAAACGGG